AGGGGCGAAGCCCUGAGACCAAGAGGCGAAGACACUUUACCAGAAGAAGGAGAGAAGCGAAGCGGUGAGCCCGAGUUUACGAGGUGAAUGAGUGAAAGAGCGA